UACGAAGGGGGCUAGCGUUGCUCGGAAUCACUGGGCGUAAAGCGCACGUAGGCGGAUUCCUAAGUCGGUGGUGAAAUCCUGGAGCUCAACUCCAGAACUGCCUCCGAUACUGAGAGUCUUCGAGUCCGGGAGAGGUGAGUGGAACUGCGAGUGUAGAGGUGAAAUUCGUAGAUAUUCGCAAGAACACCAGUGGCGAAGGCGGCUCACUGGCCCGGUACUGACGCUGAGACGCGAAAGCGUGGGGAGCGAACAGG
rnacentral:rRNA from 1 species